rnacentral:rRNA from 1 species
UUUACUAUACCAAGAAUUACGCACAAGACCUGAAACAAAACCAAUCAAGGCGUAUAUGGUGAAUGAGUACAAACUCGGCAUGAUCCAUUGAAUCAACAUUGGUUAAAGAUGAAGUUGUGAAUUGCUAUCACGACCGAGAUGAGAAUGGUGCAAAUUGUGGCUCGCCAAUUUUCCAAUAAUAAGAAUAAAUUUUGUCCGGUAUACCGGAUUAACUCCCGGUUUGAUCCUGCCGGCGGCUACUGCUAUCAGGUUUCGACUAAGCCAUGCGAGUCAAGGGGUCGUAAGACACCGGCGUACUGCUCAGUAACACGCGGACAAUCUACCCCCAGGUGGGGCACAACCUCGGGAAACUGAGGCUAAUUCCCCAUAGUUGCCAUAUGCUGGAAUGCUUUGGCGAUGAAAGAAUUUCGCCUGAGGAUGAGUCUGCGACCUAUCAGGUUGUAUGUGG